rnacentral:lncRNA from 1 species
UAAUACUAAGUGUCAAUUUGAUUGGAUUGAGGGACACCAUGUAUUAAUCCCGGAUGUGUCUUUGUGGGUAUAGCCAAAAGAGAUUAACAUUUGAGUCAAGGGAAGGCAAAUUCACCCUUAAUCUGGUGGGCACAAUCUAAUCAGCUUCCAGCAAAUAUAAAGCAGGCAGAAAAACGUGAAAAAAGGAAGAUGGGCCUAGCCUCUCAGCCCACAUCUUUCUCCUAUGCUGGAUGCUUCCUUCCCUUGAACAUCAGACUCUGGGUUCUUCAGUUUGGGAACUCAGACUGGCUCUCAGCUUGCAGACAGCCUAUUGUGGAACCUUGUGAUCAUGAAAGUGUGGUUGGAAAACUCAGAAAGACAGAAAAACCAAGCAGCAGACUGAGGGAAGACUUGGGGACUUGGAGGCUGAAGAAACUCAGAAGGCCCAAAACAAAGUUGAACUUAGUUGUUAUGGCCCAAGAACUGACUCUGGGUGGACAGAGAGGUCUCUAGAGCCAAGAGACGUCAUAGUCAUUUACUCUUCCCCAGUUCCCAUCCUCCAAAGAGUUCAGAGCUCUGUAGAGAGUGUAGAGGUUCAUCUGGAUUAGUGUCUGCUUUUUAGGGAAAAUAAUCGUUAUGAUGCCAUGUUCUCUGUGAUGGCCACCUCAGAUGGGAUGCAGGUGGUGGAGUAGAGGCAUGCUGGUGUACAGGAGAAGUGGAAGAUGGAGUGAUGCAUAAUGGGUGGUUCUAAAGGCUGGAUCCAAGACUAGCUUGGGAUGCAACCACCAUACAAUACUGUUCUCCAUCCAGAAACCUACCAGGGCCAUCAAGCAAAACCUUUGGAAAAGAGAAGGCACAGAGAGAACAGUAAAUUAUAAAGAAGCUUGUUUCCUUGCAGUCAGGCUGGGACAAACUUCAGGAAGAAGCAGAAUGACAUUCAACAAAGACAGAUUUUCCCCACCCACUUCAUGCCAAAGAAGGACAAUCACAUGCCUACCUCUCAGAAACUUUCUCUAGAAGGAGAGAAAAGGAGAAAAGAGAUUCCGAAAUGGAAAAUCAUUUCAGCCUGUUCUUUUUUAAUAGCUUUAUUAAAGUAUAAUAUGGUGUACCUUUUCUUUUUCUUUUUCUUUUCUUUUUUUUUUUUUCAUUGAGAUGGUGUCUCACUCUGAUGCCCAGGCUGGAGCACAGUGGCACGAUCUCAGCUCACUGCAAUCUCCACCUCCUGGGUUCAAGCGAUCCUCUCGCCUCAGCCCCCCAAGUAACUAGGACUACAGGCCUACAGGCGUGUGCCACCAUGCCAAGCUAGUUUUUGUAGUUUUAGUAGAGUCAGUGUUUCACCACGCUGGCCAGGCUGGCCUCAAACUCCUGACCUCAAGUGAUCCACCCACUUUGGCUUCCCAAAGUGCUGGGAUUACAGGCAUGAGCCACUGCACCCAACCUCAGUGUACCUAUUUAAAGCGUACAAUGUUAUGAGUUUCAACAUAUGUGUGCACCAGUAAAGCCAUCACCACAAUCAAGACAACAAACAUCUUCAUCAUACCUAAAAUAUCCUGUGCCCCUUUGUAAUCCAUCCCUACCUCUACUCCCAUCCUCAAAACACCACUGAUGUGCUUUCUGUCACUAUAGAUUAAUUUGUAUUUUGUAGAAUUUUUUAUGAAUGGAAUUAUACAGCACCUAUUCUGCAUCAAUAAUUUGUUCCUUGUUAUUACUAAGCAUCAUUCCAUUAUAUGGAUAUGUCACAAUUUGCUUAUCCAUUCACCUGGCAAUGGCCAUUUGGGUUGUUUGCAAUAUUUGGCAGCCACAAAUAAAGUUGCCAUGAACCUGUGUAAGAGGGUAUAAAAGCAGGCCAAUAUUUGACUAUGGUUUGCCCAGGGCAGGGAUCAUCUCUCCUUGACAAUUCUAUUCAUGAUGACUCUAAAGCUUUCUGUUUUAUAAGACUUUAGGGUUUAAGAUGUUUAACCCUCAUGGCC